GAACCAUUAGCAGGAUCAUAAUGAAUAAAAAAAUAUUUUGUAGAUUAGAUUAUUUUUGCCCACACAUGGGAUCAAUAGGAUACCAUAACGAUGAAGGUCGUAAUAGAAUACGAAAGAGUAUUUACCGAAUUAAUAUAUUUAUAUAUUGAUAACCCUUUGAACUUAAGCAUAUCAUUAAAAGGAGGAAAAGAAACUAACUAGGAUUUCUUUAGUAGCGGCGAGUGAACAAGAAUCAACCCUUGAUUGUAAUCCUUAACUGGAGAUGUAAAUCAUUUAUUCUAUUAUUUAUAUCAUAGAGAAUUUUAUAUUCGUUACUUGAUAGAAUAGAAUAAUUUCUUUGAGUAGGGCUGCUUGGUAGUGCAGUUUGAAUACAGGUAGAAUGAGAUAUCUAAGGUUAAAUAUAAUUGUAUACCGAUAGCAAAUAAGUACUGCGAAGGAAUUUGUGAAAAUGUGUGGGUGUUAGCCUUAUUUUUAAGGACCCGUCUUGAAACACGGACC
rnacentral:rRNA from 1 species